rnacentral:rRNA from 1 species
GAGUUUGAUCGUGGCUCAGAUUGAACGCUGGCGGCAUGCCUUACACAUGCAAGUCGAGCGGCAGCGCGGGGGCAACCCUGGCGGCGAGCGGCGAACGGGUGAGUAAUGCAUCGGAACGUGUCCUCUUGUGGGGGAUAACCAGUCGAAAGACUGGCUAAUACCGCAUGAGCUCGAGAGAGGAAAGCAGGGGACCGCAAGGCCUUGCGCGAGAGGAGCGGCCGAUGCCGGAUUAGCUAGUUGGUGGGGUAAAGGCCCACCAAGGCGACGAUCCGUAGCUGGCCUGAGAGGACGACCAGCCACACUGGGACUGAGACACGGCCCAGACUCCUACGGGAGGCAGCAGUGGGGAAUUUUGGACAAUGGGGGCAACCCUGAUCCAGCCAUGCCGCGUGUGUGAAGAAGGCCUU